UACGAGUGCCCCGAGCGUUAUCCGGAAUCAUUGGGCGUAAAGGGUGUGUAGGUGGCAGUGUUAGUCGAUUGUUAAAACCUGGGGCUUAACCCCAGAUGUGCGAUCGAAACGGCACAGCUAGAGGAUGCGAGGGAUGUAUGGAACUCAUGGAGUAGGGGUGAAAUCCGUUGAUAUCAUGGGGAACACCAAAAGCGAAGGCAGUACAUUGGCGCAUUCCUGACACUGAGACACGAAAGCGUGGGUAGCGAAUGGG
rnacentral:rRNA from 1 species